AUUUGGAGAGUUUGAUCCUGGCUCAGGACGAACGCUGGCGGCGUGCCUAAUACAUGCAAGUCGAGCGGAGCUUAUCCUUCGGGGGAAGCUUAGCGGCGGACGGGUGAGUAACACGUAGGCAACCUACCCUCUAGACUGGGAUAACUACCGGAAACGGUAGCUAAUACCGGAUAAUUCCU
rnacentral:rRNA from 1 species